GUCUUUUUGAAAAAAUUUAAAGUCCGUUCUGCUCACUGAUUAAUUAAAGAGCCGCAGUAUAUUGACUGUGCAAAGGUAGCAUAAUCAAUAGUUUUUUAAUUGGAAACUUGUAUGAAAGAUUAGACGAGAAUUUUAUUUUCUUUAUCUUAGUAAAUUUAAUUUUAAAUUUAAGUGAAAAUGCUUAAUUUUUUUUAAAAGACGAGAAGACCCUAUAGAUUUUUAUUAGUGGAAUUUAAUUAGAUAUUUUUAUUUGAUGAAUUAAUUUGAUUGGGGCGAUUUUAUAAAACAAAAAACUUAAUUUUUUUUUACCAUAAAUUAUUGAAUUUUUUGAUCUAGAUGUUUUAAAGAGAAGAUUAAAUUACCUUAGGGAUAACAGCGUAAUUUUAUUUAAGAGUUCAUAUCUAUAAUAAAGAUUGCGACCUCGAUGUUGAAUUAAGAUAAUAUAUUGGAGUAGAAAUUAAUAUGAUUAGUCUGUUCGACUAUUAAAUUCU
rnacentral:rRNA from 1 species